rnacentral:rRNA from 1 species
UACGUAGGGUGCGAGCGUUAAUCGGAAUUACUGGGCGUAAAGCGUGCGCAGGCGGUUCGUUAUGUCCGAUGUGAAAGCCCCGAGCUUAACUUGGGAAUGGCAUUGGAAACUGGCGGGCUGGAGUGCGGCAGAGGGGGGUGGAAUUCCACGUGUAGCAGGUGAAAUGCGUAGAGAUGUGGAGGAACACCGAUGGCGAAGGCAGCCCCCUGGGCCGACACUGACGCUCAGGCACGAAAGCGUGGGGAGCAAACAGG